rnacentral:rRNA from 1 species
UGCGUAGGCAGCGAGCGUUGUUCGGAGUUACUGGGCGUAAAGAGUGCGUAGGCGGUUUUCUAAGUUUGGUGUGAAAUCUCCCGGCUUAACUGGGAGGGUGCGCCGAAAACUGGAAGGCUUGAGUAUGGGAGAGGUAAGCGGAAUUCCUGGUGUAGCGGUGAAAUGCGUAGAUAUCAGGAGGAACACCUGCGGUGUAGACGGCUUACUGGACCAUAACUGACGCUGAGGCACGAAAGCGUGGGGAUCAAACAGG